rnacentral:lncRNA from 1 species
CUGGACGCCGCUGUACGUCCGGGAGACGGGCCGUCUGGGUCCCGGACUCCAGGAUUCGGCCCACGCAGACAGCUGAAGGCCUGCCCUGCUCCUUCCACAUCCACCUCCUCCCCCGAGACCACCACUUCUGCCAGCCCUCUCCCAUCCCGUGAUUGAUGAGAAGCCAUUUCCGCACUUCUCCCGCUCAGACAGAGCCGCUGCCGAGGAGAACGCUUUUCUUCAUACCAUCAAAUGAAGCAUCGCUGCACAGGGGGUUACACCAGGCCCACGGCGGCCUGGACCAAAGCCCAUCAAAGAGCCUGGUGUGGAUCUUGCUGUGUGUAGAAGGCAGGGUUGGAGCCAAACCCCAGGGCUACUGGACGGGACCAUCGUGGUGGCGGUGGAAGCAGGAACACAGGCGCUGUUUCCAGUUUGGUCCUGCCGGCUACCUGGGGAUUGGCUUCACCCCUGCCUCCUAUGUACAGGGGAUCUGCCAGGGUCUAGAUGUUCCAGAUCUGGACCGACUAUGGGGGCCAACACCAAAGACUAACCAUUAAAAUAUGUCAUUUUUGCACGCUUGCCUCUGGAGUCUUUCUGGUAGAACUAAUAUCAUCUUAGAUUAAAUCUUCACAGCAAUUUUCCAAAAUGUGGUAGAAAGCCCUCAAAAAAAGGAAGAGAGAAGCUGUUAAUG